UGGCUCAGGAUGAACGCUGGCGGUAUGCCUAACACAUGCAAGUCGAACGAACUCGCAAGAGAGAGUGGCGGACGGGUGAGUAACGCGUGAGAAUCUGCCUUCAGGAUGGGGACAACAGUUGGAAACGACUGCUAAUACCCAAUAUGCCCUAAGGGGUGAAAGUUAUCUCGCCUGAAGAGGAGCUCGCGUCCGAUUAGCUAGUUGGUGGGGUAAGAGCCUACCAAGGCAGCGAUCGGUAGCUGGUCUGAGAGGAUGAGCAGCCACACUGGGACUGAGACACGGCCCAGACUCCUACGGGAGGCAGCAGUGGGGAAUUUUCCGCAAUGGGCGAAAGCCUGACGGAGCAAUACCGCGUGAGGGAGGAAGGCUUUUGGGUUGUAAACCUCUUUUCUCAAGGAAGAAGCCAGUGACGGUACUUGAGGAAUCAGCAUCGGCUAACUCCGUGCCAGCAGCCGCGGUAAUACGGAGGAUGCAAGCGUUAUCCGGAAUCAUUGGGCGUAAAGCGUCCGCAGGUGGCGUAUCAAGUCUGCUGUCAAAGACUAGAGCUCAACUCUGGAAAGGCGGUGGAAACUGGUAGGCUAGAGUACGGUAGGGGUAGAGGGAAUUCCCAGUGUAGCGGUGAAAUGCGUAGAUAUUGGGAAGAACACCAGUGGCGAAGGCGCUCUACUGGGCCGUAACUGACACUCAGGGACGAAAGCUAGGGUAGCGAAAGGGAUUAGAUACCCCUGUAGUCUUAGCUGUAAACGAUG
rnacentral:rRNA from 1 species